AGGCGGGGUGGGUGGGUGUUGGCACUUCACGCGCACCGAGACGCACCGGAAGUUCACCGGCGUCUCCUAGGAUACACCCAAACCCGCAUACUACCGCAAUAAGGCUACUUACAUUACAGGCGCAACUAUGUGAACACGUUUUUAUCGCGAUAGUGUGGGAUUUAUUUGACGUUAUUAGUUCCCUGGCGCUGCUGAGACCUGGGAUGCCAGAUCUUCAUAAAAUCAUCCACACACUCAAAACUCCCACCCUUAUGUAACCUGCAGUAAUAACAAACAAACAAACAAAACAAAAAACACCACACACACCUAGCUACAGGAAGACAUGACACCUGUGAUUAAUCGUUUUUUUUUGUUUUUUUUUUCCAGAUUUUUAGAUCAAGUGCAUUUAUAACACGUCUCCUCUUAAACUGCGCCAACUGCAGCGGUAAAAUUAUUACUACAAAUCUCAACGGAAAGUUGUUUAUUUCCGGGGUUUUUGUCCGUUAGCUGAAACUUAGCAACUAUGAAGAAGGCUUUAAGCUCCGCCCGCUCGACAUGAUGACGUCACGAGUCAGCGAAAAGCUUUUUUUGUGAAUUAUAUGUCUUUUUUUUCUGUGUGUUGUUGCACUGUUAAACCUCAGUGUGUAUUUUUAAAAACCGUUUUCCCUCAAAAUCAAAAAUCUAAUCAAAUCCCUAAUUAGGAAGAUAUUACAGACAGAUUUCCCAAACUGUUGAUUAUUGUUCUAUUUACGUUAGAUUUCAUACUGAAAAAUGGCAUACAUUUUUAUACCAUAUAUACAAUAUCUUGUCUCACAGUGAAAUUAACAUUUUAAUUCUAACAUGCAGACUAAUUUUAUAAACGUAAAUUUUUUUAUUUUAUUUUUACAUUUAAAUAUAUACGCAUGCAUGUUUAAUAAGGCUUCAUUUUUGCAUGAAUAAACGUCAUUAAAGAAAAGUUUCAAUAAAAAAACACUAAGCAUAUCAACAUUUCAGCAGUUGCUGGGUGAAGACUGAUUUUGAUGUCUCUUGUUUGUUUUUUUGUUUUUUUUAUUUACCCGUAGUGUCUUCUCGUCUUAAGAAUAUUAUUAUACAAGUCUACAUUUUUAACAAAGCGUUAUUUAAAAGAUUGUUUGUUUUUUAUAUUGUUUAUUGUCAUAAGAAGGAAAAGUAUGCGUGGAAAAAUCAUCAUAUAUUCAGAGAUAUAAUCAGAGCCCAUUUUGAGACGUGUAUUGUAAAUAGCCGAAUGAUUUGAUUUAAUUAAAUAAAUAAUUUAUGUAAUUUAUGCAAAAUUGCAGCCCCCCAAAAAAUAAUCAAUCAUCUGAUUAAAGGUAGGUUCAUUUUGUCGAGUACGGCUGUCAGACGCUGAAUAUCUGUAGAAAAACAUGUUCUACGUUCUAAAUCAUGCUGGAAUGAUGGCUCGACUCCAAAGAUCUGAUUUACUGGUUAUUAUUAUUAUUAUUAUUAUUAUUAUUAUUAUUAUUAUUAAUGUUAACUGGGUCAGGUUCAGUUACUUUCCAACACAGCAGUGCUGAUUAUUCAAUGAAUGAAACACAUCUGGAUACUAUCUAAUUGUUAGUAUUUAAUGUAUUAUUAUAAUCUAUGAUUAGUAGUAUUUUUAUUAUAAAGCUUAUAUAUAGUCUAAACGUCAGUUAAUUCAGUAAAGAACUCUUCAGGAUUUAUUUUGUUCACAUCCCACAGUGUGAGCUUUCUGCGUUGCAAAAUUAUGUUACAAAGAGAGCAAUAUUAAUAUCUACUUUAAAGAAAUAGAUCUAUUGAUAUUUCUUCUUUUUAUUUGUUGAAAGUAUCAUUUGUAAUUUCUUAUUAAGUAUUAUUCUGGCACUUUAUUAUACACAUACAACGAAAUGGAAGAAGAACCGUAAGCGUAAACAUUUUAAAAUGAACAUAGAUGAGAAUCUGGAGACUAUUUAACUCCACUCCAUGUUACCAAAAGUAAUAUGUACUCUUGCUUGCAUUUAGUUAUUAGUUUUUUGAUUAAUUGAUUGAUCGAUCGAUUGAUUGAUUAAUUUGCAGCAGCACCAUCUAGUGGUUAAUAUUUGAACGCUCUCACUCUGCUCACAUGAACAGCCUUCAUUGCUGUCCUUAAACUCAGUCUGAAUGAUUACUGACAUAUUCAUCAAAUGAUGUGGGUUUUUUUUUUUUUUAAUUAAAAAAAAAAUGUGCUAAACUAAACCUAACGAAUGCGUGUUACUGAAAUUCAUCUGCGUCUGAAAUAGUCUCUCCUUCAGGCAGGGGAAGAACGGUGAAACGCUAGACGUCGCCUACACAUAUUUCGACCUCAUGGCUUUUAGGGGCUCGUACCUGCUGUUACCUUAUACAGCCCUGCUCUAAAUUUAACUCUUACUGACAUGCAUAUAGAGCUGCGGCGUGCUAUUUAUAUAGAAACACAUUUAAUGUCACUGUGAAAUUGGUGUCAGGCUCCAUUACACACUGAAAGGAAUCAUUCCCUUUAUAAUAGUUCAGUAUGGCGGUGUAAACAGGGGUUUAUUGUCUGUGCGCACGUACUGAAAAUACACACUUUUCCUUUUUUCUCUCUCUCUCUUUCUCCCAGUCCUAAAUAGAGUACAUGCGAGCGCAGCUAUACGACUCACAUCGGCGGCUUUCUUGUCGGCCACUUCCAGUUUCUCCUGAGCAUCCUUCACGGCCUCGCAGUACUUGUCCAGCUCGUCCUCGGUUCCUUUGAGUUUCUUCUGCAAGGCGACCAGGUCAUCCUCCAGCUGAGAGAGAGAGAGAGAGAGAGAGAGAGAGAGAGAGAGGAAGAAAAAGGAAAAGGAAAGAAAUGAGAGACGGGGUUAAAAUACAAGAAUACAAAGUGGGUUCGAAGAUCUGUCAGAGUCUGUGUGAGGCUAACAUCGAAAAUACAAAAAGUUCUGGCUUUCUCACAUGGCUUCUCCUCUGAUCUCUGCCUAAAUGUUAAGCCAUCAUCAUCAUCAUCAACUUCAUCUCUAACCGAUCACACUUCCAUGAAACACUUUUAAACUCUACCCCCCCCCAUCUCUAUUUUAAUAUCCACACAGAAACCGACCGCCUUGGUUCUGUCCUCCGAUGCCUUCUUGUCUCCCUCAGACUGCUCUGCUCUGUCCAAGGCGUUCUCCUUGUCGAGCUUCAGCAUCUGCAUCUUCUUCUUGAUGGCAUCCAUGGCUGCUUAUUGUCCUGGUGGCAGACAGAAAGAAAUAACGGAGAGGAGGCGAAGAGCGUCUGCGCCGAACCGAA